rnacentral:lncRNA from 1 species
CAAACAAUCUCCAUGGAAAUGAGAUGAGCCAAUGUUAUGCAUCUGCAUACCAAAUAGCAUUUACAUAACACUAGUGCCUUCUCUUACACUAAAAUGGUCACAAACUUAUACAUGUUAGGUAAGCAAGUUUAAAGGUUAACAGAUCAUGUCUUAGGGGGUGGUGCCACAUAAUCUCCAUAGAAAUUAGGAACGCAAAUGCUUGUACAACUGCACUCCAAAUAUCAUUGGGCUACCACCAGUGGUUCCUCAUAAAUGGACCUAUUCACAAACUAAUACAUGCUAGGUAAGCAAAAGUUUCAGGUCAAUAGAUCAAGACUGAGGGGGAAGAGCCAAAUAGUCUCCAUUGAAAUGUGAUAUAUCAAUGCUGAUACAAGUGGUUCCCAAUAAACUGACCUAAUCACAAACUAAUACAUGUAAACUAAGUAAAAGUUUGAAAAUUUUAAUUGAUAGACCAUCACUGAGAUGGUAGGGCCAAUUAAUCUCCAUGAAAUAAGAUAUGCCAAUGCUUAUAAACUGCAUAUAACAAAUAUCAUUGAACUACCACUAGUGGUUCCCCAUGAA